GAUGAAGAACGCAGCGAAAUGCGAUAAGUAAUGUGAAUUGCAGAAUUCAGUGAAUCAUCGAAUCUUUGAACGCACAUUGCGCCCGCCAGUAUUCUGGCGGGCAUGCCUGUUCGAGCGUCAUUUCAACCAUCAAGCCCCCGGCUUGUGUUGGGGACCUGCGGCUGCCCGCAGGCCCUGAAAACCAGUGGCGGGCUCGCUGUCACUCCGAGCGUAGUAGCAUAUAUCUCGCUCAGGGCGUGCUGCGGGUUCCGGCCGUUAAAAGCCUUUUUUUACCCAAGGUUGACCUCGGAUCAGGUAGGAAGACCCGCUGAACUUAAGCAUAUCAAUAAGCAGAGGA
rnacentral:misc_RNA from 1 species